rnacentral:lncRNA from 1 species
AAGUGACUGUUUUAGGUUAUUUGUCUCUUUAAAAUCUAAGGUUCCAGAGUUUCUGUUUCAGCUUAGUGGAUUAAGAACCCAACUAGUAUCCAUGAGGAUGCGGGUUCUAUCCCUGGCCUCACUCGGUAGGUUAAGGAUCUGGCGUUGCUGCAAGCUGUGGUGUAGGUGGCAGACAAGGCUCGGAUCUAGCAUUGCUGUGGCUGUGACGUAGGCUGGCAGCUGCGGCUUCAGUUCGACCCCUAGCCUGGGAACCUCCAUAUGCUGCAAGUGAAGCCCUAAAAAGUAAAGGAAAAAAGAAAAAAAUAACGUUCAGGGAGUUCCCAUUGUGGUGCAGAGGAAACGAAUCUGGUUAGGAACCAUGAGGUUGUGGGUUCGAUCCCUGGCCUUGCUUGGUGGGUUAAGGAUCUGGAUACUUAUUUUUAUCAUUUGCCUUAGUUUUCUCAUGACUGAAAUUAGACCAAUAGGAAAUCUUUUAUUUGGAUUGAGAUCAUCUGCCAUUGGACUCCAAGUUUACUUUGUGUCUAUGGAAGGGCAUAAACUACCUGACUGAGGGCAACUACCAACUUGAGUGCUGGAGUCAGAGCACCAGGAUUAAAUUCUGGUUCUGCCUAAAUGUGUGAACUUGGACAAGUUACUUGAUCUUUCUGGGUCUGAGUACCCCUAUGGUGCAAAAUAAGGAUAAUCUUAAUUUUGAGCAUUAAAUAUAUGUAAUAUGCCGAGUAGGGCCUACUACUAGGCACCCUGAUGCAUAGUGAGUAGUCAGUGAUUUUAGCAUUAUUAUUGGCUCAAGACUGCGCAGUAAAAAGAAGUACCUAUACAGGUUACUCGAAACAGAAAAGGGGGAAAUUUAUUAUAAAGUCACAGGACAUUUAUAACAGAUUCCAAAAGUAGGAAGUAUAGGUUGGGCCUCAAAGGGCACUAGAAUCUGGAGGAUAGAACAUGAUCAGGAAGUGAUCCCCCCCCAAUCUCUUUUUUCCUCUGCCGUGUUUCAUUCUUAAUUCUCUGCAAGUCAGCCUACACGGUGUGCUUCCUAGUUGACAGUCACCAUCCUGAGGUAACCUGGGCUUGUACCUUUCUUGAAACCUAGUAAGAGUCUUAGUAGUAUAAUAGGAAAUGGGAAGAACAAAAAGAAGACUGGUCAGUUUAAGUGGAGAGCCCGGAGAAGGUAAAGGUUUUCUUUUUUUUUUCUCUGAAACUGAUGGUCUUUUAAAUAUUAGGUAAUGACCUCCCUUCUGUCAAUUAUCAGGUUUUUGUUUGGGUGUGUAGUUUUCCAAAAAUUGUGUGCAUAUUCAAAAACAGAAAUAGAAGAGUUCCCUUUGUGGCUCAGCAGAAACGAAUCUGACUAGGAACCAUGAGGUUUCGGGUUCAAUCCCUGGCCUCACUCAGUGGGUUAAGGAUCUGGCGUUGCUGUGAGCUGUGGUGUAGGUCACAGAUGUGGCUCGGAUCUGAUGUGGCUGUGGCAAAUAUAGAAGCUAUUUUAUUUUUAUUUAUUUAUUUACUUUCAGGCCACAGGUGCGACAUGUGGAAGUUCCCAGGCUAAGGGUCAAAUUGGAGAUGCAGCUGCUGGCCUACACCACAGCCAUAGCAAUGCCAGAUCCACGCCACGACUGCAAACUGCACCGUAGCUCAUGGCAAUGCCGGAGCCUUAACCCACUGAGUGAGGCCAGCACUCAAACCCAUAUCGUCAUGGAUAUUAGUCAGGUUUGUUUCCACUGAGCCACAACGGGAACUCCAAAAGCUAUUUAAAAUUUCUCUAUAGAUUACAAAUUUCUGAUCUAUUUUCUUUCCUGUGAGGAACCUAAGGCUCCCUCUAUUGGAGACUGCUAUUAUGUCUUCCCUCUUAUAUCCCAUAAAAAAAGAAUAUUCUUGAUAAAAACGUUUCCUGAGGAAACUAGAGAACAAGCUGUAGAUAACCACAAUGACUGAAGAGACAACAAUAUCACUAGUGGAGGUAAAUUUAUGUUUACUUGCAUAAUUAAGAAUAAACAGUAGUUCUAAUGGAAAGUAGUAUAUGCUAGCUAUGUACUUUGAUUAAUAUAUAGGGUAGCCAUAAAGUCUGGAAAAAGAUACUACUACUUUAGUGUGUAUUGAAAUAUAAUAUCACCAAACUAUUAAUGUGUAUUCAUUUAUGUUUCCAGAUUUCGUGGCAACUUGGUAAAUAUAGUAAAACUAACAACGAGGAGAGAUUAGGUAAGUGAGGUAGACGAGUAGGUGAGAAGCAGGAAAGCUCUGAUUGGAGUUCCCGUCUUGGCGCAGAGGAAGCAAAUCCAACUAGGAACCAUGAGGUUGUGGGUUUGAUCCCUGGCCUCGCUCAGUGGGUUAAGGAUCCAGCAUUGCUGUGAGCUGUGGUGCAGAUCACAGACAUGGCUUGGAUCUGGCGUUGCUGAGCUCUGAUUAGACCCCUAGGCUGGGAACCUCCAUAUGCUGCGGGUGCGUCCCUAAAAGGACAAAAACACCAAAAAUAAUAAUUAUAAAGAAAAGCCCUGAUUGUCAUAUGCAAAUUUUAACUAGAAAUAAAAGGAUUUGCCUCAAGUUUGGUACUAGGGGAAAUGGGAAGGAGACUAAGAGAUUCUUAGAUAGAUUCAUUAUUGCUCUAUAGUAGGAAAAACUUCAGUCCUCCUGGGUUUCUCCUUUACUUUCACACUACUAUCACAAUAACAACACUUCUGACACCUAGGUGGGGGUUUUCCCCAUACCAAAUGAUUCCAUGACACCAGCUGGGUGUCCUGCAAUUUAACCCAAUUCCGAUGCUAUCUACCUAGAGAUACAGGUUAAGGGGUCAGUCCCACAAGACUGCCUGCCCCUGUGCCCUUCAAGGCCAAUCACAAGUACAGGUUGUUACAUGUGCUUCUGACCAAUCAGCUACAAGUCAGAGGUUUCUGUGACUCCCCCUUAAGUUAAAUUACUUUGCUAGAAUGACUUGCAGAACUCGAGAAAAUAGUUUACUUACUGUUCACCAGCUUUUAAUAAAAAGACAUGAUAGGAGUUCCCAUCGUGGGGCAGGAUUGAACCCGCAACCUCAUGAUUUCUAGUUGGAUGCGUUUCCACUGAACCGCAAUGGGAACUCCCUUCUGAUUUUUUUUUUUUAAUGGAAAUUUAAAAAAUGGAGAUAGCAUAUGAGAGUAUGUAUAUACAUCCAAAACUUUGAUAACAUGCUCUGUUUGUCAGUCUGUGAGGAAACAGGCUUUUUUUUUUGAGGGGGGCACAACCCUGGCAUAUGGAAGUUCCCAGGCUAGGGGUCAAAUCAGAGCUAUAUCUGUGCCCUAUACCACAGCCACAGCAACGCAGGUCUGAGUCACGUCUACAACCUACACCACAGCUCACGGCAAUGCCAGAUCCUUAACCCACUGAUGGAGGAUCAAACACACUUCUUCAUGGAUAUCAGUUAGAUUAGUUACCACUGAGCCACAAGGGGAACUCCUCAGUGUCUUUUUAUUAAGCAAUCCCACUUCUAGAAAUCUAUCCCAAAGCUAUUCUGGCAAAUAAAUAAAUAAAUAAGAAAAGAAAUGUGCACUAUUAAAUGUAGCAUUAUUUGUAACAGCUACAGGCUGGAAACAACCCAAAUGUCUAUCAGUAAUAACCAUGGUAUCUCCACACAAUGGAGUACUAUGCAGCCAUAAAAAGUAAUGAGGAAGAUGCUGCUCUGGAGCAAUCUCCAAGAAAUACUUGUAAGUGAAAAGAGCAAGAUGUAGCACAUGUGAGUAGUGUCCUAUUAUGUUCAGAUAUAAAUAUGUGUUUCUAACAGAAAAACGAUGGAAAAAUAAGAGAUAUUUUUCUCCCUUUAGGGAGAGAGAAAAAAUAAAGUGGAAAAGGGCAGAAGAUAAACUUCUUUGAAUAUACCUUGUUUUGCAGAGUUUCCUUCCUUCCUCCCUCUUUCUUUCUUUCUUUCUUUCUUUCUUUCUUUCUCCCACACUCUCAGCAUAUGGAAAUUCCCCAGAGGUCAGGGAUGAAAUCCGAGCCACACCCGAGACCCACACAGCAGCUGCAGUGAUGCCAGAUCCUUAAACCACUGAACCACAGCAGGAAAUCCCAUAGUUGAUUUUAGAACCAUGUAAAUAUUUUACAUAAUUAUAAAAUAAAAUUAAGUAAAAACAAAAGUAAUUCCUAAAAUAAACCAAUAAAUUAUCACAGUAGUUUUUUAUAAAGAGAUAGUUGGCUAAAUACAAACGCUAUAUAAAUGAGUUAAUACCUCUGCUCCCUCUCAACAUCACAAAUUUCAUACCCAGUUUUCUUUCUUAAGGCUAAGUCUCCCUCUAGUGGAGAUUAGUUUUACAACUAGUCCCCCCCACACCCUACACUGACUGUCUCUUGCUGCCAAAUCCUUAAAUUACAUAAGUAUUAGAGUCAUGAGAAGAAGGACGUAGUGGAAGAUGGGAUAGCAAAGAGUCAAGGACAGAAGCAAAUUUUAGAAGGAAGUGAGGGGUGGGGGGUGUGUGUGGUUUCUGGUGGUGGUGAGAGAUAUGAGAGGCUCUAAGAGCCAAGAAACUUUGGUUAUUCAACUCAGAAUGGGGAAGGAACUACAAAUUCCUGUUGGAAGAUUGCCACCACUUCUGCCCAGAAAGACGUGAUUAAUAUGACAACAUCACUGUGUACUCAGGGAAGUAGCUCCCCCCAGGGCAUUGCCUUAGGGAGAAACUCUGGCCAGAAAUAGUGAUGAGUAGAUGGGUGAUUUUUCCUGAGCCAGGUAAGGUGUGAUGGGGGUGAACUCAGGCACCUCGCUCAUCUCUCAGGACUUUCCCAGAGUCCCACUGACCAUUAAGGUCAGAUGUGUGAAAGCUCUGCCUUCUCAGAGACCGAUCAUGGGGAAAGGCCCUGGCACAGGCUCCCCAGUUCCUGGCAAGGAGAGGAGAGUCAAAGACUAGCCCACAUUGAAAGUGGCCUCUGGGGGUAUGAGGGGAGAGUCCUGGUGUUCUGGGCUAUCCUAGGUCUCAUCUGACCUCACAUAGCGGAAACUACUGAGGAAAAGUCCUUUAGAGGAGAACCUCUCCUCACAUCUGCUCCAAUUUCUAAAAGUAUGUGCCAUUCUUCCUCCCAUGCUCUGGCGCACUGUGGUCUUACCCUCUGUAGAGAACUUUUGAGGGUUGCCACCUCAGCAUGUAUCUCAGUCUCCUCUACAGUUUUUACAUAAGAAUACAAAAAGAAAUGAACACUAAAAAACAGCCUAGUUUUUUAGGUUCAUUUUCUGGUCCUCUAAAAUCUAACUCCUUAAUUCAGCUCUCCUACGUGUCUAGCCUGAGAAUACUGUCCAGGAACUUAUUCAUUUGAAUAAUCAUUUCAGCCCAUUGCCACAUCUUUCUCUGUUCUGCCUCACUUCCUCCCUUUAAGAGGUGAAUUGAGAUCCUAGAGGGAAAAAAAUGGCCUACCUAGGUGUGGUGACCCUUCCUGAGUGCAAAAUAUAAGAAACUUGUUGCUAAAGGCCAAGGUUCUUAAUGUGACAAAAAGUAACGUGAGCCUUAUACAAUGAAAUAUUUUCAGCCUUAGAAAAUCGUGAAAUUCUGACAUACUACUACAACAUUGGGUGAGCAUUGGAUGAGCCCUGAAGAUAUGCUAAAUAAGCCUAUCACAAAAAGACACAUUCCAUUUAUAUGAAGUACUUAGAGUGAUCAAACAUCAUAGAUACAGAAAAUAGAAUUCUACUGGGGGGCAGGAAGAAUCAGUUAUUGUUUAAUAGUUACAAAGUUUCAGUUUU